CCUACGGGUGGCAGCAGUGGGGAAUAUUGGACAAUGGGCGAAAGCCUGAUCCAGCCAUGCCGCGUGUGUGAAGAAGGCCUUCGGGUUGUAAAGCACUUUCAGUGGGGAAGAAAGCCUUGGGGCUAAUACCCUCGAGGAAGGACAUCACCCACAGAAGAAGCACCGGCUAACUCCGUGCCAGCAGCCGCGGUAAUACGGAGGGUGCGAGCGUUAAUCGGAAUUACUGGGCGUAAAGCGCGCGUAGGCGGUCUGAUAAGCCGGUUGUGAAAGCCCCGGGCUCAACCUGGGAACGGCAUCCGGAACUGUCAGGCUAGAGUGCAGGAGAGGAAGGUAGAAUUCCCGGUGUAGCGGUGAAAUGCGUAGAGAUCGGGAGGAAUACCAGUGGCGAAGGCGGCCGUCUGGACUGACACUGACGCUGAGGUGCGAAAGCGUGGGUAGCAAACAGGAUUAGAUACCUCUGUAGUC
rnacentral:rRNA from 1 species